GCAUGGGUUUGGAUUUAUGGCAGGCCUGUCCCUGUAGGCCUCUCAUAGUGUCUUAUGCCAGAGCAAACUGUGACCCUGAACCAUUGCCUGGUCUCUGUCCAUAGGCUUCUGGCACCGAGGCAGGUUACACAGCA
ensembl:snoRNA